ensembl:lncRNA
GCAAUGUUUUAAGGCUAAAACAUUAUACAAAAACUAAAUUUGAGGGACUGCUACUAACUGAAGCAAGAAAAAGCAAAAUUUGUAUCUUUUAAACACUGAAUUGUUGUAGCAAUGCCAUGUUUAUCUUUCAGGAGGAGCCCACCCAUCUCUGUUCGAAGUACAUGUGCUCUAGGCAUCAUCUCUCUAUUUCCCAGCCUCAGAGAUCUAUAGUCGGACAAGGGAUAUGAACACUUCUAUGACCCAGAGAGUGGAUCUGGCUACUUGGCCUGGAGGAUAAAGACUGUUCAGGGCAACACUGCAGCUCAGCCCCAGAGAUGCUCCACAAGCACAACCUAUCAAGAUAGUCCAAAGAGAAAGAGGGAUGUUCUCUGCACUGAUAAGCAGCUGCUUGGUGAGCACUGUCAUGAAGCAAUAUCCUUUUUGAAACAUUCAACUGAUGAAUCAGCCAUCAAAGAGCGAAUGAGGGCCACAUUUCAGUACCGCCAAACACUGGUUCAAGAUCAGCAGUGCUCUUCGACAGUCUUUGACAUCUUCCCACGAUUCCUCGACAUCACUGGCUUGAUUGAACAAGACUUCACCAUGAUGUUUGGAGAGGAAGUGUCGGGCAGAUUUUUGGCAAAAUGGCCUACCUUUUUCAAGCCUAGAAUCCUGGCAGACUGCAAAAAACUGACUUCUAAUGAGCACAUUGAAGAACUCAUGUCAUUGCAGCAUGACUCAGGCUGGGACAGUGAUCUGUCCAGCAUUCUUCUGUUGGUUCACCUGCUUCCUCCCACCCCCAAAGGCCACAAGAAGAGUGCUAAAAUCAGCCCAUGCCAGGCUGUUGACCAUGUUGUGAG